rnacentral:lncRNA from 1 species
AUGGAAGGGGGCCGGGUGGAGACGCCUGGGGACCUCGGUAGCAGAAGACAGUCCUCAGAAAGCUGCGACGCCAAGAGACUCAACACUCCAGAGAAAAGACUCAGGGCAAGGUUGGCCUCAGCUCAUAAGACCUUUGCAAAUUUUUUUGAGUCAAGAGUUUUAGAAAAAGAGAACACUGGUGAAUGUUCUUCAUGCCCUUCCAAGGACCAGAAGGAAAAGAGCAGGUUGCGCCAGACUUCCUGGCGCACUUUCCUGAAAAGCAAAGAUGCCCAAGGCUCCAAAAGGUCCUCCUUAGUAAGUCUGAUUCCAGGACCAGAAAUCUUGAAUACUCCCAGCCGUUUCCCACCAGAGACCAAUAGCCACUGUGAGAACACAGUGGUGGAACACAAGGAGAGCUAUGUUUUUAGAGAUCACUGGACACCCACACAUUGCCCCAUACCUUUGUCAUCCAGCAAUUUGGCUUCUUCAGAUAACAGGAGAAAAAGUGAACCAACUAUCAAAUGUACAAGCACCCAGGAAAGUGGUGAAUACAUACCUCCGAGUACCUUUCCUGAAAAGUCUUGGCCUUUGUCACCCACCAGUCCUGGGAGGCAGCAGGCUGGGAUCAGCCGCACCCUUCCCUCAAGCUCCACCUGUUGCCUGGCACAUGGAAGCCAAAGUGUGCCCUGUAAGCCCCUGAGCCCCAAGCCCCAGAGUCUCAGGCCUGGUGCCCAGCGCACAGAUUUCCACUACCCUGAAAAGGGUAGGGCCAUCUCAGUGGUUUCUCUUGGAAGCUACAGCCAUGUGGACACCAGCUCAGAGGCCCCUGGAAACCCCAAGAUGUCCCAGGCCUGGAUAAGCCUCCUGCUUUCUCUGCAGGCAUUAGACCAGGGCGAGCAGAAGGAAGAGAGCAGGAAAAGAAGCCAGCAUCCCUGUGGCAUAAGCACAGCACCCUCACUGAAGAACCUUCUUGGGAGUGAGAAUCACAUGCUGUGGGAAGAACAACCAGGCAGAAAGCCCAGUUGCUUCCAAGGUCUGAAAACUUUUCACACUGAGCCAGCUCCGGGGCCAUUCUCUACAGCUGAGGUGGGGACAUGGAUUCUUCCCUUCAUUUCUGCAGAAGACAUCCCCCGGGAGACUCCUUCACAACCCAGGAGUAUCCCUCAGCACUCACACAUCAGUUUAGAUGACCUGUGGCUGGAGAAGACGCAGAGGAGGAAGUUGAAGAAGCAGGCCCAGUUUGAAAGGAAGACUCAUGCACACAAAGAUGGAGUGCAAUGUUGGAGGAAGAUGAUCAUUACCUCUCCAGAGUCUUUGAAUCUCCCUGGAAGAAGCCAUCCAUUCUCGCAGAGUGCCCCGACAGGAUUGAACCACAUGGGCUGGCCAGAGUCCACACCUGACAUUGCCCUCGGCCGACCCUACUACCUGGCACGUCAGAAGCAUCCGACCCUCCCCACCAGCCUGCCUCAGCAACAGGUCCUGGUGCUGGCAGAGCCCAAGCGAAAGCCAUCCACCUUCUGGCACAGCAUCAGCCGGCUGGCACCCUUCCGCAAGUGA